UAGCGGGACGGGUGAGUAAUGUAUGGGAACGUAGUCUUCUAGGUAGGGGAAUAUUCUUUAGGAAACGAAGAGCAAUACCGCAUGAGUCCUACGGGAGAAAGUCGCAAGACGCUAGAUGAGCGGCCCAUAUGGAUUAGCUAGUUGGUUAGGUAAUGGCUGACCAAGGCAACGAUCCAUAGCUGGUCUAAGAGGACGAUCAGCCACAUUGGGACUGAGACACGGCCCAGACUCCUACGGGAGGCAGCAGUCAGGAAUAUUGGACAAUGGGGGCAACCCUGAUCCAGCCCAUGCCGCGUGAGUGUUGAGGUCUUCGGAUUGUAAAGCUCUUUUGUGUGGGAAAAUGAUGAUGGUACCACAAGAAUAAGCACCAGCUAACUUCGUGCCAGCCGCCGC
rnacentral:rRNA from 1 species